rnacentral:rRNA from 1 species
CAGUCGCCGCGGUAAUACGGAGGGUGCAAGCGUUAAUCGGAAUUACUGGGCGUAAAGCGCACGCAGGCGGUUUGUUAAGUCAGAUGUGAAAUCCCCGGGCUCAACCUGGGAACUGCAUUUGAAACUGGCAAGCUAGAGUCUCGUAGAGGGGGGUAGAAUUCCAGGUGUAGCGGUGAAAUGCGUAGAGAUCUGGAGGAAUACCGGUGGCGAAGGCGGCCCCCUGGACAAAGACUGACGCUCAGGUGCGAAAGCGUGGGGAGCAAACAGGAUUAGAUACCCCUGUAGUCCCUGUCUCUUAUAC